UAACUUCGGGAGAAGGAGGCCUCAUACUGGGCAACCAGCUAUGAGGGGCACAGACCAGGGGGUUGCGACUGUUUAUCAAAAACACAGGGCUGUGCGAAGCCGUAAGGCGACGUAUACAGUCUGACGCCUGCCCGGUGCCGGAAGGUUAAAAGGAGAAGUGCAAGCUUUGAAUUGAAGCCCCGGUGAACGGCGGCCGUAACAAUAACGGUUCUAAGGUAGCGAAAUUCCUUGUC
rnacentral:rRNA from 16 species